UACGGAAGGCAGCAGUGGGGAAUAUUGCACAAUGGGCGAAAGCCUGAUGCAGCUAUGCCGCGUGUAUGAAGAAGGCCUUAGGGUUGUAAAGUACUUUCAUCGGGGAGGAAAAAACAAAACUAAUAAUUUUAUUUCUUGACGUUACCCGAAAAAGAAGCACCGGCUAACUCCGUGCCAGCAGCCGCGGUAAUACGGAGGGUGCUAGCGUUAAUCAGAAUUACUGGGCGUAAAGAGCACGUAGGUGGUUUUUUUAAAGUCAGAUGUGAAAUCCCUGGGCUUAACCUGGAACUGCAUUUUGAAACUGAAAUACUAGAGUAUCGUAGAGGGAGGUAGAAUUCUAGGUGUAGCGGUGAAAUGCGUAGAUAUCUGGAGGAAUACCUGUGGCGAAAGCGGCCUCCUAAACGAAUACUGACACUGAGGUGCGAAAGCGUGGGGAGCAAACGAGGAUUAGAUACC
rnacentral:rRNA from 1 species